CCUACGGGGGGCAGCAGUGGGGAAUAUUGGACAAUGGGGGCAACCCUGAUCCAGCCAUGCCGCGUGUGUGAAGAAGGCCCUCGGGUUGUAAAGCACUUUCAGUGAGGAAGAACGCCUGGUGGUUAAUACCCAUCAGGAAAGACAUCACUCACAGAAGAAGCACCGGCUAACUCCGUGCCAGCAGCCGCGGUAAUACGGAGGGUGCGAGCGUUAAUCGGAAUUACUGGGCGUAAAGCGCGCGUAGGUGGCUUGAUAAGCCGGUUGUGAAAGCCCCGGGCUCAACCUGGAAACGGCAUCCGGAACUGUCAAGCUAGAGUGCAGGAGAGGAAGGUAGAAUUCCCGGUGUAGCGGUGAAAUGCGUAGAGAUCGGGAGGAAUACCAGUGGCGAAGGCGGCCUUCUGGACUGACACUGACACUGAGGUGCGAAAGCGUGGGUAGCAAACGGGAUUAGAUACCCCAGUAGUC
rnacentral:rRNA from 1 species